CUGGUUGAUCCUGCCAGUAGUCAUAUGCUUGUCUCAAGGAUUAAGCCAUGCAUGUCUAAGCACAUGCCUUAAUACGGUGAAGCCGCGAAUAGCUCAUUACAACAGCCACCGUUUACUAGAAUAUAGUUAUCCUACUUGGAUAACUGUGGCAAUUCUAGAGCUAAUACAUGCAAAAAAGCUCCGCCCGCAAGGAACGAGCGCAUUUAUUAGAAUAAAAACCAAUCGGGUUUCGGCCCGUAAUUUGGUGAAUCUGAAUAACUUUGCCAAUCGCACAGUCCUAGUACUGGCGAUGUAUCUUUCAAGUGUCUGCCUUAUCAACUUUCGAUGGUAGGUUAUACGCCUACCAUGGUAGUAACGGGUAACGGAGAAUAAGGGUUCGACUCCGGAGAGGGAGCCUGAGAAACGGCUACCACAUCCAAGGAAGGCAGCAGGCGCGCAAAUUACCCACUUCCAGAACGGAGAGGUAGUGACGAAAAAUAACGAGACAGUCCUCUUCGAGGUCUGUCAUCGGAAUGGGUACAAUUUAAAUCCUUUAACGAGGAUCUAUUGGAGGGCAAGUCUGGU
rnacentral:rRNA from 1 species